AUGGUGUGCCUCUGGCAUUAGCUUCAAACUCUCAUAGGGAAACAUUGAAUCUAAAAUUUAUUUUCACCAAGGUUGGAAAGAAUGUUCUCUUUCAUUGUUGGCGGUGAUGAAGUGACAACAGGGAAGCCAAGUCCUGAAAUAUUCCUGGAAGCUGCUACAAAGCUAAAUAGAGAACCUUUAAAGUUGUCUAGUAAUUGAAGAUUCUAUACAUCUUCCACUACUGGAACAUUUCACAAUCACGAUGGUCAAGUGGUAAAUCAUAUCAAGUGUGAUAGAGACAAUAGUAUAGUUUCUUCUUUCACAUUAAAGACAUGGAAUAUGGAUUCUCAACCAAGUUUUUUGGGUAUUGAAGAUCAAGUGAUUUCCUUCUAUUCCAAUUCUACUUUGUCCAUAAAUAUAUCGGUAACCAAAAUGUCAAUGGAGUUUUGGAUGUAGCGAGAAGUUGGGAAAGGUUGUCAUUGGAAAUCAAAGGCAUAAGU